rnacentral:tRNA from 1 species
ACUUAAAUAAUUUAUUUAAAAUAUUAGUUUGUGGUACUAAUUAUGCAUUUUUUUUGCUUUAAGUU